UGCCAGCCGCCGCGGUAAUACGAAGGGUGCUAGCGUUGUUCGGAAUUACUGGGCGUAAAGAGCAUGUAGGCGGCUCGCUCAGUCGGGUGUGAAAGCCCACGGCCCAACCGUGGAACUGCAUCCGAUACUGGCGAGCUCGAGGACGGAAGGGGUGAGUGGAACUCCAGGUGGAACGGUGAAAUGCAUAGAUAUCUGGAGGAACACCGGUGGCGAAAGCGGCUCACUGGUCCGUCUCUGACGCUGAGAUGCGAAAGCUAGGGUAGCGAACGGGAUUAGAUA
rnacentral:rRNA from 1 species